UCUAAUAUGGCAGAUAAGUGCCAUGGACUUAAGCCCCAUACAUAAAGAAUCCUCCUCUUUUAUUAGAA
rnacentral:tRNA from 1 species